AUUGAACGCUGGCGGCAGGCCUAACACAUGCAAGUCGAGCGAGCGGCGGACGGGUGAGUAAUGUCUGGGAAACUGCCUUAUGGAGGGGGUUAACUACUGGAAACGGUAGCUAAUCCCGCAUACCAUCAGAUGUGCCCAGAUGGGAUUAGCUAGUAGGUGGGGUAUUGGCUCACCUAGGCGACGAUCCCUAGCUGGUCUGAGAGGAUGACCAGCCACACUGGAACUGAGACACGGUCCAGACUCCUACGGGAGGCAGCAGUGGGGAAUAUUGCACAAUGGGCGAAAGCCUGAUACAGCCAUGCCGCGUGUGUGAAGAAGGUCUUCGGGUUGUAAAGCACUGUCAGCGAGGAGGCGUUACUCGCAGAAGAAGCACCGGCUAACUCCGUGCCAGCAGCCGCGGUAAUUC
rnacentral:rRNA from 1 species